AUCAGGAAAUAACUGUUCCAGGUAUAGGGUUCAACUUUGUGAGGAGACAAGAAAACAAGUCAGACUGUCACAGCUAAUUUAGGGAAAGCAAAAUGGAAGUCUGAAGGCUAUCAAGUAAGCCAGAGUGUGGUGUUAAUAAAGAGCCUUUGGGAGGCAGAAGCUUGAAUGUGAUAGAAGUCAGGGUGGGAAGAUGACACAGGCUGUCCUAGCAGCCAGUCAGUGUCUCCUGUGAAGACACCCUCAGAUGCUGGAAACAGCCCCAUUGGCUUUUGCCCUGGAAGUGAUGAAGGCUUCACCAGAAAGAAAUGCACGAUUGGAAUGGUUGGUGAAGGAAGCAUUCAGUCCUCUCGAUAUAAGAAGGAAUCAAAGUCAGGCCUUGUGAAACCAGGUAGUGAAGCUGAUUUUAGCUCCUCGAGCAGCACAGGCAGCAUUUCCGCUCCUGAGGUCCAUAUGUCGACUGCGGGAAGCAAGCGGUCUUCUUCUUCACGCAAUCGAGGUCCUCAUGGGCGGAGUAAUGGAGCUUCGUCACACAAGCCUGGCAGCAGCCCAUCAUCCCCG
rnacentral:lncRNA from 1 species